rnacentral:rRNA from 1 species
GAUGAACGCUGGCGGCGUGCCUAAUACAUGCAAGUCGAGCGAACAGACGAGGAGCUUGCUCCGCUGACGUUAGCGGCGGACGGGUGAGUAACACGUGGAUAACCUACCUAUAAGACUGGGAUAACUUCGGGAAACCGGAGCUAAUACCGGAUAAUAUAUUGAACCGCAUGGUUCAAUAGUGAAAUACGGUUUUGCUGUCACUUAUAGAGGCAUCCGCGCCGCAUUAGAUAGUUGGUACGGUAAUGGGCUACCAAGGCAACGAUGCGUAAACGACCGGUGGGGCGGAUAGGCGGCAUGGGAAGGGAGACGGCGACCAGGCGCCUACGGGAGGGAGCAGUCGGGAAUCGGACGCAACGGGCGAAAGCAUGACGGAGUAGCGGGGAGUGAGUGAUGAAGGUCUUGGGAGCGUAAAAAUCGGUUAUUAGGGAAGAACAAAUGUGUACGGAAAUAUGGAGGUCUUGACGGUAACGAAUCAGAAAGCCACGGCUAACUACGUG